AUGAUCGAGGGCGGCUCCUGGAGGCUGUGGCACUCGCGCAACGGCAUCGAGGAUGCCAUCCAUCACGAGGGCAGGUUCUACUCUAUCACGUACUCCGGCAAAUUGGAGGUCUGGGAGGAGCGCGAUGUGGAUGACCCCGGAGUUUUCACGAGCGCGGUGGUCACGCCGAGCCUGCUGCUGCUGUCGGACGGCCCGGACCACCGCAAGUACCUCGUCGCAGUACCUUGCGGGCAGCUGAUGAUCGUGCUCAAGGAGCCAAUGGGUGACCGGACGUUACCGUCCUUUAGGGUGCACGUCCUCAGCGGGGGCGCCGAGGAGUGGAAGGAGACAGACGACAUCGGUGACGCCUCGCUGUUCGUCGGGACGAUGGGUUGCUUGUGUGUGUCGACGAGGGAGCACCCGGAGCUCAGGGCGGGCUGCAUCUACUACACCACGGACGGCUGCGUCGUGAUGUUUAGCCUCAAGGUGGGCAGGGUGGAGCAAGUCGAGGGCCUCGGGACGCACCGGAGCUGGCCGCCGCUGGAGUGGCUGGCGCCCUCGCACGACGGCGUCGAGGACGCCAUACACUACAAUGGCAAGUUCUACUCCAUCACGUACACCGGCGUCGUGGAGGCGUGGGAGCAGAGCCCCGAUGCCACCGGCAUGUUCACCAGCGCGGUGGUCGCGCCAAGGCUGCCCAAUGCGGACGGCGAUCCAUGGUCAUGCCGCAAGUACCUUGUGGCGGCGCCGGGCGGGAGGCUGAUGGUGGUGCUCGAGGACUCCAAGGACAUCACGGAUGAAUACUACGGUCGUCUUAGGACAUGCUCCUUCAAGGUGCAGAUCCUCGAUGCCAACGGCGAGCAGUGGAAGGAAACAGAUGACAUCGGCGAUGCUGCUCUGUUCGUCGGGGUGAACAGUUCGAUGUGCGUGUCAACUAGCGAGCACCCAGAGAUCAGGGCCGGCUGCGUCUACUACACCGAGAACGAUGUGGGGCCGUGCAAUGACGCGUAUGAUCAGAGUGGCGUCGGGGUGUUCAACCUCAAGGAUGGCAGGGCGGAGAAGGUCCAGGGCCUCGGGCAGCACCGGAACUGGCCACCGCCGGCAUGGUUCAUUCCUUCCUUCCAAUGA
rnacentral:rRNA from 1 species